rnacentral:rRNA from 1 species
AGUGAACGCUGGCGGCAGGCCUAAUACAUGCAAGUCGAACGGCAGCACAGACUUCGGUCUGGUGGCGAGUGGCGAACGGGUGAGUAAUAUAUCGGAACAUACCUUGUAGUGGGGGAUAACUAUCCGAAGGAUAGCUAAUACCGCAUACGAUCUAAGGAUGAAAGCGGGGGAUCUUCGGACCUCGUGCUAUAAGAGUGGCCGAUAUCUGAUUAGCUAGUUGGUGAGGUAAAGGCUCACCAAGGCGACGAUCAGUAGCUGGUCUGAGAGGACGACCAGCCACACUGGAACUGAGACACGGUCCAGACUCCUACGGGAGGCAGCAGUGGGGAAUUUUGGACAAUGGGGGCAACCCUGAUCCAGCAAUGCCGCGUGAGUGAAGAAGGCCUUCGGGUUGUAAAGCUCUUUUGUCAGGGAAGAAACGGUUGUGGCUAAUAUCCAUGGCUAAUGACGGUACCUGAAGAAUAAGCACCGGCUAACUACGUGCCAGCCGCCGCUGUAAUAC